AUAUAUGAUGAAAAUUUUGCAGCGUUUUGCUGUUGUAAUAUUGUUAAUAAUAUCAGUGCUACACAUCGUGAUUGCUUGUGGAAAAAAGGAAGUCAGCUGUAAUCCUAAUAAUCCUCCCUGCAAGAAAUAGUUCAGUUCUGUGUCAUUUGUUAUGCUAUGGACAAAGACUUGGUGCAGGAAGUAAUAGUUCUGCUGGUAACGUUACUGCUUUCGUACCUCGAGUCCUGCUACGGGUGCACGAGGCACCAUUACAUCACUUGCAACGAGAAUCCCAAGUGCGAAAAGAAACAAACAUAACGAGAUAAAAUAAAAUCUUCGGAAGGAUGGAGUAUCUCAACGAGUUUGUGUUGGUAUUCCUCCACAUAGCGAUAUCAGUUUUUGAUCUAACUCACGGCUGUAAACGAGAACGGAGACACUGUAUGAACAGCGGUUGCUACCCGUGCAACAAGUUUGGUGGUCCUAAAGUGCGCGCUCAGGUUGAUAUUAAGUGAAUACAAUAUAAAUAUCGAUGAUGCACGUACAAAUCAUUGGGUUACUUUUGCUCUUGUUGCUCACACUGGUGCUCGGCUGUCGAAGGAAUCGGUGUCAGACGCACUGUCGGCCGUGCAACUACCACGGGCCUAUCAUCGAAGUUCUACAACCAAAACCG